UACGGAGGAUCCAAGCGUUAUCCGGAUUUAUUGGGUUUAAAGGGUGCGUAGGCGGAAUGAUAAGUCAGUGGUGAAAGCCUGCAGCUUAACUGUAGAAUUGCCGUUGAUACUGUUGUUCUUGAGUAUAUUUGAUGUGGGCGGAAUGUGUCAUGUAGCGGUGAAAUGCUUAGAUAUGACACAGAACACCGAUUGCGAAGGCAGCUCACAAAACUAUAACUGACACUGAGGCACGAAAGCGUGGGGAUCAAACAGG
rnacentral:rRNA from 1 species